GCCCCGCUUCUGCUCCAGCAGCCGCCUGCGGCCGCUCUCGGCCUCCGACUCCAGCGCGUCGAACACGGCGGCGCCCACCAGCAGUUACUCUCCAAAAACACAGCAGCAUCAGGAUGUCAGUCACUGUGAUCUCACUGAAGUGCGGACACAAUGGAAUAACUGGUUCCUGCCUCGGGUCAACAGCAGCUUCCCAUUCCCUUCUUAUAAGCUGGCACUGUACAAGGCAUCAUUCAGAAUUCCACAGUCAUUAUCCUAAUAGAGCACCAGCCUCCUGAAACUUUAAAAGGCAAGUCUGCUGUCAGCAGCUGCACAAUCUUGGAGGAGAGAUGGAGAAGA